rnacentral:rRNA from 1 species
CUACGGGGUGCAGCAGUGGGGAAUCUUAGACAAUGGGGGAAACCCUGAUCUAGCCAUGCCGCGUGAGUGAUGAAGGCCCUAGGGUCGUAAAGCUCUUUCGCCAGGGAUGAUAAUGACAGUACCUGGUAAAGAAACCCCGGCUAACUCCGUGCCAGCAGCCGCGGUAAUACGGAGGGGGUUAGCGUUGUUCGGAAUUACUGGGCGUAAAGCGCGCGUAGGCGGAUUAGCAAGUUAGGGGUGAAAUCCCAGGGCUCAACCCUGGAACUGCCUCUAAAACUGCUAGUCUUGAGUUCGAGAGAGGUGAGUGGAAUUCCGAGUGUAGAGGUGAAAUUCGUAGAUAUUCGGAGGAACAUCAGUGGCGAAGGCGGCUCACUGGCUCGAUACUGACGCUGAGGUGCGAAAGUGUGGGGAGCAAACAGGAUUAGAUACCCGUGUAGUC